AGCAGACGCUGGAGUGUGUCCACCGGUCUACAAGGAGAGGCCUACCUAUACUCUGCCUCCCUGGCCUCCUUGAGGGAGGGUGCUUUACCCCACCCCCUUACCCUCUCCCUUGCCUCUCCCCUCUCUUGCCAUCUUUAAAAACCACACGCAGGCAGAAAUCAAUCCAUCAAAUGUCGUUACAGAUUUAUUAAAGCCUGAUGUAGAAAGACAUUUAACAGAACCAUCUCCAGGAAGCAUAAAAAGAGCACUUCGAUUCAGUCUUGUGCUUUGAAAAUCUAAAUAUAUUUUUAUCAUAUAAAUAAUUCUUUUCAUGGUUUAAGUGCGUCUGUGUGUUUUUCUCUUCUCUGUCUCUUUGCUCCUUUCAUCCCCCGCCCCUUCUCAAUUGGCCAAAGUAGGAGUCUGAAAGAGGAUGAGCUGCUGAGCUAAUAGCUGGGCGGUGUCUCUGCGAGCCGCCGCUGCUACCAGGACCGCUAGGUUCCGGACCGUGGUUCUGUGUCUAUAGCAUUGUGAUGGAGGGCCGCCUCUGGCACCCCGACAGCGAACACACCCAGGUCCUUAUAGCUGAAGCUAAGACUUCUUAUGCAGAUUGCCAUGCGGUUUCAGAUAGGAAUAGUCUAUUUUUAAUAACAGCUGAAUGAUGAAAAAAGAUUUUUUUCUUGCUACAAAAGAUUGAUAUGUUAAAAGUGGUAUCAGCGGGCAUCAUACACAGCAUGCAGGAGAGAGUCGUAGCCGUGCACAGAACAUUCUACAGCUGGUUGAUGGCCUUAGCUGGAAGGAGGCACAGAAAAGGAAGGGACACCUCUCAUUGUCUCUGUUCCCAAAGGGUGGCUGAAGAGCGGAGGUACUCAAAGGUAAUUUGCAUGAUAUUUGCAUAUCAUUCUCCCUGGUGUCUGUGGUCCCAGCUUACCUAAAGAAGGAAGUGGUACAAAAGCAGAUAAAAAUGCUCUCCUGGAGUUCAAGUCAUUUCAUUUUCUCUCUCCAGGAAGAAGUUUCUAGAAGCUUCCUAGGCUUGCCAAAUGAAGACAGGCCCGGUGUCUAGAAAUACACCGAGAGCCGUGUGCGCACGCCGAGGUGCCGGCUCGGAUCUUGUUUUCUGCAGAGAACAUUAACAGCUGUCUCUCAGCAGUGACAUUCACAGUUGCCAAGUGACAAUUCAGGAGUCUAACCAAAUUUAUCAAUAUUUUUGUCUCUCGCCUCCCACCUCACCCCACCAGAGAAAUUGCACUAACGGAAAACCAUAUAGAUUAUACGCAAAGCAGCGCAUUUAUUCUUAUUUUUGUCUUAGGAGGGAAAUGAUUACCCAGGGGUCCAGAAGCGUGUUGCACUCCCAGGCAGAUCGGGAGGUCUGAGUUUGCAUUCGGUUGGUUUCAGAGGGUCUGAAUUAUGUAGUUUCCCUGAUAACCCCGGGUUGGAACAGGCGAUUUUUAGCAGCUCCAAGAACCCCCAUGCUAAUGUAUUAUCCCACCCCCAACCCCUUUUAAUAGAGUCUUGCCGUUGAAGGACAGUGCUCCGUCCAGUCCACCCUUCAAUCUUAACCCAUCUGAAGCCUGUUCCUUUCCAGCUGAGUUCCGUUCAUUUCUGGUUGAACAGGUUAAGCAAAGACAGACCUCUCUGUUCUCAAUUCACUUUACGAUCCUCCCAUCAUAAAAAAUAAUAUCAGCACCUUGCUUUUCAUGUCAGAACUACGUCUGAGCCGCUGUUCCCUGUGCCCGUGAGUAAAUCCCAUAAAAGCCGCCCCGUUGUACUGUUGUUAUUUUUCCUUGUGGAUGAUUGAUGGAUGGAUGGGCGCUGACACUUCAAUGAAGCUAUUUCGACUGCCAUCUCAAUCCGAUGAUGUGAGGGGUAUAUUUUCCGUCCAUGCCUCAUUACUUCAGAAUGACAUUCCUGGAACUUCAUUUACUUUUCCCCUCCUUCCCUGAAGCACCAUAUUUUUCCCCAUCUAGGUUAUGCAUACCAUAAAAAAAAGCAAUGUGCUAUUAUAUGUGGCAUAAGGGCAACACUUUCCUUAGGAGGUAAAUAAGUUUUUUUUCUUUUUCUUUUUUCUUUUUUACUUCAAAUUUUAUUUUAAAUCCCAGUGUUGAAUUUAGGGAUCAUGUCAAAAUUUCCAAGACAUUUCCAACAGACAGCCUCUAUAAUAAAUGGUGAAAGGGAUAUAUUGGGCUUCAUUUUGCCAGCUUUUUUUUUUUUUUGAUAACCUUGGUAAUUAAAUCAAUAAUGCAAAAAUAGUCGUUUGUUUCAGAGUGUUGUGCUGAGAUAGUUUAAGUAUUUCACCCAUAGCUGAGUGACGAUUUAAAAUACAAUCCAGACUUUGUUGUCCUAGGAGAGCAAAGAGGCUCAUUGUUUGCAUGAAAUGAUGGAUUUAUCUGUUAUAGGUUACUCCCCGUUGUACAGAAAAUGCUUGGCUAGAACAAACCCAUCUUCCCUGCACUUCCAAACUGUGUACUAGGUCUGCGAGACUUUAAUAUUAAAACAUGCUCUUAGCUUUUCCAAGUUGACUUAGGACCUGAUUUUCAUCUGUGUAAUACAGUAUUCCCGUUAAUAAUAACGUGUAAUUAAGACAUCCGUUAAAAAUCCAUAACGUUAAUUUAAUGGAGAAAAUCUAAUACAGUUCUAUUGGAAUUUUUACGUUAAAUUAACUUUAACGGGCUUUUAAUGGAUGUCUUAAUUAGAUCUCAUUAUUAACGGGAAUAUUCCACAAAUUAAAAUUGGGCCCUUAAAGUUUUAAUGAAAAAAGUUGCAGGAAUGCGUUUAAAACGGACACCCUGUUUUCAUGUAUUCUGCAUGGUUCGGAGGAGAAGUUGCAUUGGAGAGGCAACAGGUCCUGCAGGAGACAGAAGUGGCUACUUCCCAGUGCACCCUUGGUGAGGACGAUCUUGCUUUCUCUCAGGUUCUACUCUGCACCUCUCCCAGUGGCCAGACUCAUCUGACAGUGGUGCAUGCUGGGAACUAAGCUUACACACCACUCAGGAUAGCCUUACGGAGCAAGCACGUUCUAGCACUGCACAGGACAAAGUCUUUGGCAGCCACAUGGUUAAGCCUGGCGAUCCCAACAACUUUCCCAGAAGAUGAACAUGGUCAGGAGGUUUUCUUGGCUCAAACUCUGGUUUAACUUAAUAACUCCUCCACUCUGCCGUUGAUGAAUGGCUCCCUGGUGCAGGGGCAGGACUAGGCAAUCCAGGUGCAACCUUAAUUGUUACACUGAACAGAAACAUUUCCUUUAGACAAACCUUCCCAGGGGGGUUAUAAAUAGGAAAUGGACGUUACCAUGAGAAGCUCGCUCCCAAGAGCAGCCCAGCUCGGACAUUAAACUACGAAGAGUGAUUGGCCCCCUCCCCUUCCUUUUACAAACGGAGAAGAGAAGGAUGUAGCUCCCAGUCAUUAGUUUUCCUCAGUGGCACUUUGUUUCUUCCCGACAGUGAAAAGAGGCCCUUGGAGAUGCGACAGUGCCCUUGCAGUUUAUCAAUGAAAAUCUAAUAUCGUCCAUAAGGAGAGAAGUGGAAAUCAAUACUUCAUUACCAAAUUGUUAGUGAGGAUGAAGAGAAAUGGUUGGUGCGAUUUUCUCCUUUUCUUUUUAUUCCCUUCCCCCCCUUCCCCCCUUUUUUUCUUUUUUCUUUUUUUGGCAGUCUUUUUAGAGCCAGGUGUCAAGAGGAGGUCGUCAGUGAGUCCAAAGUCAGAAGCAAGGAUGCGAAGAAGCAGCAGCUCUGAGAGAGGGAGAUCCAAUCCAGGCAGAAAGAUCCAGGCUAAGGCAUUGUCCUGCAGGGAGGCAGAACAGAGAAAACAGUGUUAUUUCUAGAGGAAUGGCAUGGGCUCUAUCUUCCUGGCUGUCUGUCUGCCCAGCUUCGCUUUGUAUGGCUGUGAUGAAACACCGACCAAAAGCAACUUAGAGAGGAAAGGGCUUGUCUGUUUGGCUUACAUUUCCAUUACAUUCCAUCCCUGAGCAAAGUCAGGGCAGGAACUCGAGGCAGGAACCUGGAGGCAGGAACCUGGAGGCAGGAACCUGGAGGCAGGAACCUGGAGGCAGGAACCUGGAGGCAGGAACCUGGAGGCAGGAACCUGGAGGCAGGAACCUGGAGGCAGGAACUGAAGCAGAAGCGGAGGAAUGCUUCCUGUGGAGGAAUGCCCUUAGUAUCAGUAAUGGCUUCUUCCUGGAGGCUUGCUCAGCCUGCUUCUUUAUAUAACUCAGGACCACCUCCCUACCCCCAGGGGUGGUACCACCUACAGUGGAGGUCAGAGGACAGCCAUGUAAGUCCCAGAGUUCAAACUCAGGUCACCAGGUGUGGUGCUUACUGGUCCCUCUGGCUGGCCCCUGUCAAAAAAACCACUUCUAUACAGAAGAGAAAUACUCAGGCUCCCAGAAAGUAUUAAUCUAUCCACAAUGUCUGAAAGGCAGAAGCAAGGCAUUAGUGGGUGAAUGGGUAAGUAGGACACAGAGACACAUGCAUGGAGAUUCUACUCAGCCUUUACAAGGAAGGACGAUCCCACGGUUCAGCUACAUGAAUGCACAAUGAGGAACUUAUGCUGGGUAAAAGGAGGCAGCCACCAAAAGGCAGACACUUUGUCCACCUGAUACAUUGUUUCCCCCCUUAUAUAUGAGUACACUGUAGCUGUCUUCCGACACACCGGAAGAGGGCAUCGGAUCCCAUUACAGAUGGUUGUGAGCCGCCAUGUGGUUGCUGGGAAUUGAAGUCGGGACCUCUGGAAGGGCAGUCAGUGCUCUAACCACUGAGCCGUCUCUCCAGCCCCUUCCUGAUACAUUUAAUGGCCACAGACUUUCGGUUUUGAAAGAGGACAAACUCUGGAGAUGACAUUUUUGGUUGUACAAUACCGUGAGAAGAUGGAACAGUGCCGAGGUAUAUGCUUAAAAAUGGUCGAGAUGGUAAAUUCUAUAUUAUGUCUAUUUCAAUAUGAUUGAAAUAUGUAAUCUAUUUUUUCACGGUGAGAGUUGCUGGAAAACCGUGACUUCUGUUCUCCCAGGCUGAGGAGCACCCGUCCGUUGUCACCUUCUCCAUUCUUCUUUUCCUCCGUGUGCUUUUGCGACGUCUACAUAGCCUGCCACUUGCUCACUUUUCCCCUGGGAAAAGUUGUUGGUGACACCGCCGCAAUUUGUGUCUGGUGCUGCACAGUGUGGCUGCGGUUUCCCGAGCCAGCCCUAUCCUCUCGGAUGUGACGUUUGUUUCCGGUUUUAUGCAACCGCAUAGAGUACCCCGGGGGUUGUUUUGUGAGAGAGCCUUUCAGUGUGUUAGAGUGUCCUCAGAGGCUUAACCACCUAAGUCUCGUUCUCGAGUGGAAAGGAGGGAGCGUUUUUGUUGUGCUGGGGUCAAAGUGGUGCAGUGCCUCAUUUUAUUUAUAGUUAAAGAUUUUUUUUAUUUUGUCGUAUGUGUAUGAAUGCUUGCCUGCAUGUGUGUCCAUUCAUCAUGUGUGUGCCUGGUGCCCAAAGAGGUCAGAGCAGGGUGUCAGAUCCCUCAGAACAGGUAACAGCAGAUGGUGUGAGACACCUUGUGGGUGCUGGGACUGUACCUGUGGAAGAGCAGCCAGUGCUCUUAACGCCAAGUCAUCUCUCCAGCCCUAAUUAAUAGCUAAUCAGAGGCAGGAUCUGUGGCUGAGCCUGGUCUGGAACUUGCUACAUCCAGCUGUCCUUGAUUUAUGGAUAUAGGCUUGGCCUACUGUGGGUGUGUGUACUCUGUAACUUCAGUGCCCAAGGAGGGCAGAGAGGGAACUGGCUGGAACUGGAGUUACAGAUGGUUGCGAGCUGCCUUUUGUGGGUGCUGGCAACGGAGUCCAGGUCCUCUGCAAGAGCAGCCUGUGCUCCUAACCACUGAGCCAUCCUCUCCCCAGCUCCUAGACAGCGCUUUCCUUCUUUGUUAAAUAAUGGAAACACCUUAUGUAAAAUAUGAAGGAAGUUCUUGGAGCCUAAGACUUGAGUCCUAAUAUCUCUAACUCCUAUGAAUCUUUUCACAGGUUGGCUCUUUGACCUUCGGGACCUAAGGGCCCUAAAAAAGUAACUUUAAAAAAAUUCCUUGAAAAAAGAGAUUUAUUUAUUUAGUUUAGUUUGUGUGUCCGUGUGUCCAUGUCAGGGGUAUGUGUACACAAGUGUAGGUGUGUUCAGAGUCCAGAUGGGGUGCCAGAUUCCCUAGAACUGAAGUCCCAGAUGGUUGGGAACCCCCAGAUGUGGGUGCUGGGAACUGAACCUGGGUCCUCAGCAAGAACAACAGGCGCUCUGUGGAUUUGCUUGUUUGCUUUUGUUUUCUGACACGGGGUUUCUCUGUAGCCCUGGCUGUCAUGGAACUCUCUUCGUAGACCAGGCUGGUUUUGAACUCACCUGCUUCCGGAAGCUGGGACUAAAGGUGUGCGCCACCACACACAGCUUGCAGCAAGUGCUAUCCCAAAUUACUUAUUUUUACUAUUUAUUUGUUUAUUUAUUUAUGUGUUGUAUGCACGCAUGAGCUGUGGAUGUGGAGGUUGGGAAUCAACCACAACUGUUGUCCGUCAGGUGUACUGACCUUCUUCUUUUGAGGCAGGUCCCUCCUUAGGCCGAAUCCCAUCGAGUAGGGGAAGCUGGUUGAGCAGAGAAGCUCAAGGACCUGCCUGUCUCUGCUUCUCCAGAGCUGGGGUUACAGACGUGCACCACCACACCUGACUUCUGAUAUGGAUUCUGGGGAUCCAACCAAUGUUCUCCCACCGCAUGGCAAGCAGUCUGCCCACCAGGCUGUCCUUCCAGCCUGUUGCUGUGGUUGGAAUCUGAAGUGUCCCUCGCAGUUUGGACACUUGCAUCCCAGCUAGGGAGCACUACUUUAAUGACUAUGGAUCCCAGCAGGAGAUAGGACCUAGCAAUAGCAGGCAGGACACCAGGCUCAGACCCUUGAACGUUGCCUGGGCCUGGUUUCUGCCCUGCCCUCUGCUGAGGUUGGAACAGCCUCUACCUUGGUGGUCCCAAUGUGACAUAGAUGCUUCAGUAUGUCCUAUCUCCAUCUCCCCACAGGCCGGAGCCCUUGGUAAGCUAAAUAACUCUUGCAUGCCUUCAGCUGUUUCCACCAGGUUGUUCAGCAGAAAAGUAACGAAUGCCCUUGUUACUAAGUAACGAAGCAAAUCGCUAACAUCAGCGUCUGGGUAAGUUAGAGGCAUUUCCCCAGGAACUUCCGAGUACAGAUAUAUGAGGGUCAAAUUCCAGAUAUAUGAGGGUCUUGCUUUUCAAUCUGGCUAUGAGGCUAACCCCACUGGCAAAGUCCCUCAGAAUAGCCAAGCCAGGUGCCAAAUGGCUGUAAUCAGGCAUUUAAGAAACAGAGGCAGGAAGGUCAGGAGUUCAAGGCCAGUCUGGACUACAUGAGACCCUAUCUCAAAACCAACAGAACAAAAACGAAGUCCUUUGUAUCUCCACAUGGAGAGAUUGGAGGCAUGGUGUCUAUGGAAGUCAGCGUACUGGAGGGAUGAUAGAUGGAGACAGUUGAUGAUGUUCCCCUCCCCCACUGAUUUAGAAAAGGAGAAGACCAACUCUGUGGCAAGCUAUUUGAUCACAUUGUGAACCCUUAGAUUGUGAAUUGAAAAAAACUCGUUUCUUGUUGUGCAGCCCUAGCCCACACCCAAGAGCUUUAACCCAAGAGCUUUCUAUAAACAGGAGUUAAGUAAAGUCAACCAUAGGUCAAGAGCAGAGUAAGCAACAGGGACAGGGAGUGAACACAGCAAAACGCAGGAAAGAGAAAGGAGGGGCUCUGAGCUGAAGGGAACUUGAGACAGUGUGGAGAAGAGAGAGCCUUUUCCUUCUGGGAAGUCGGUGGAGUAGAAGGUGAGCUGGGUGCCUUCUCUGCCUCUCUGAGCCAGCAGACGUCCACCACAGCCUCUGGCACCUGUGUCUUCCCUUGGUAAGUCGAACAUGUGGGGUUGUAUCUUUUAAAACAACACCACUCCACAUUUUCUCUAGUCCCUCCCCACUCCCCGAGAUUUUAAAAUAAGAUCCUAGAGAGAAUUAAGUAGAAAAUUAAGAGAGGCCAUUAAGUGUUCCUAUUUCUUUGCUUGCAAUGGAUUACAUAAACUGGGUUAAGGUAGAAAGAAAUCAAAUACUGGUGACUCCCAGAGACCUCGGUUGAGGCCUUCACUUUCUUGCUUCAAAAGCUUUUCUCUACCCCCUAGUAUUUUGUGCUACUGUGAGAAAAAUAAAAUGAGAGUAGGUUAAAAAUAAUUAUAUAAUCUAAGAAGUCAAUGGCUUUGAUCAUUAAGUAGAGUUUGUGAGGGAGAGCCAGACAAAAGGAUACCAUUAUCCACGUGCAUUAAGGAGCCACCAACAGAUGGUUAGAGUUAUCUAUACUUCAAUCUGUCCAUUGUACUGGCUAGGUUUAUGUCAACUUGACAUAAGCUAGAGUCAUCUCAAAGGAGGGAGCCUCAAUCUAGAAAAUGCCUCCAUAACAUCCGGCUGUAGGCAAGCCUAGUGGGCAUUUUCUUAAUUAGUGAUUGAUGGGGAAGGACCCAGUCCAUUGUGGGUGGGGCCAUCCCUGCGCUGGUGGCCCUGGGUUCUACAAGAGAGCAGGCUGAGCAAGCCAUGGGGAGCAAGCAGUAAGCAGCACCCUCCAUGGCCUCUGCACCAGCUCCUGCCUCCAGGUUCCUGCCCUGCAUGAGUUCCUGUCCUGACUUCCCUCAGUGACCACAGUGCUGUGAAAGUGUAAGCCAAAUAAACCCUCUCCUCCUCAAGGGCUUUGGUCAUGGUGUUUCACCCCGGCAAUAGUGACCCCUAGCUAGGACAGCCACGCUGACUUCUUAAAUCCUCUGGCCAAUUGCUUGGGUCGGUGGUUUCUUGACAUGCCCUUGCUCCAUUCUGCCUGUGCCUUCUGUUCCUGCCGGGUGUGGUACUUUAGGCACACUGCACGGCUGGAAGGGAACAGACAGAGGCUGGAAUGUUAGGUACCAUUACAGUGGAGAGACUCCCCAGGAGUCAGUGCAGCUCCUCACAGCAUAGAGACUUUGGGGGCUCGAUGAACAUUUGGUGCUCACACUGAAGACUGUGCAUUCUAUCCAAGCAACUCUGGCCUCUCCAUGCAGGCUCCCAUAAUACCUGGUUUCGAGCAUGUACACACUUUGGUCAAGCACAUACACACGUCCUUUCUGGAACGGACUGAAGUUGAUGGGUUUGGGUGGUUUGCUCCUGUGGGGAGCAGGGAAGGAGGGUGUGACUCGUGACUCUUAUCUUGGGGAUCCUCAAAGCUAUUUGGCCAGAGGGGAAAAACACAAGGGAAAUAUUCUUGUUGAAAAUUAAAAAAAAUGUCAUUAAAAACUAGAAGACUAUGAUAGAGUAAAAAUGGAGACAGGGACUUUUAAUGGUGCCAUCCUCAGAGAAGCCGCAGUUAAUAUUUCUUCAAAUUGAUUUAUGAUUUGAAAAAUCUGAAUCAGCUCGUCUCAUUGCUUGGUCUCACAGACAGCGCUCUGUUUAGUUUUCCCUAAGAGAAGUCAUCUCUGCGCGCAGAAACCCUUACACUUUGGUGGACCAACUUCAGCUCUUACAGAAGAGUUCUACGAUGCCGGGCAGGUGGAACCACACCACUGGAUGCGGUGCUGGGAAUGGAACCGGGGUCUUCGUGUAUGUUAGAGGCCUAGGUCCCUGAAGUGACUUAACCAAGGCGAUAUGAUCAUGAAUAAAAUCGAUUAAUCUAAUA